UUGCAUAUCAAUAAGCGGAGGAAAAGAAACUAACAAGGAUUCCCCUAGUAACGGCGAGUGAAGCGGGAAGAGCUCAAAUUUGAAAUCUGGCAUCCUUCGGGUGUCCGAGUUGUAAUCUAGAGAGGCGUUUUCCACGCUGGUCCACGUAUAAGUCUCCUGGAACGGAGUGUCAUAGAGGGUGAGAAUCCCGUCCUUUACGUGGGCUACCAGUGUUUUUGUGAUACGCUUUCUAAGAGUCGAGUUGUUUGGGAAUGCAGCUCAAAAUGGGUGGUAAAUUCCAUCUAAAGCUAAAUAUUGGCCUGAGACCGAUAGCGAACAAGUACCGUGAGGGAAAGAUGAAAAGCACUUUGAAAAGAGAGUCAAACAGUACGUGAAAUUGUUGAAAGGGAAACGCUUGAGGUCAGUCGCGCCUUUUGAGACUCAGCCUUCCUUUUGGUUGGUGUAUUUCUCAAGAGGCGGGUCAACAUCAGUUUUGGCCGGUGGAUAAAGGCGAGAGGAAUGUGGCUUCCCCGGAAGUGUUAUAGCCUCUCGUUGCAUACACCGGCUGGGACUGAGGAACGCAGCACGCCGCAAGGCAGCCCUUCGGGGACUUUCGUGCUU
rnacentral:rRNA from 1 species